rnacentral:lncRNA from 1 species
ACAGACUGUCCGUUGUAAUUUGGCAGCAGCAUUUAAUGGCUCUGAGACCAAUGCCAAGGCCAUCAACCCUUCUGAACUUCAACCUCCUUAUCUGUAAAACAGAGGGAAUACAGGCUGACAUUUUAUGAGACUACUUGAGAUACUUUAGCAUCUGCUUCUAACCCUGAAAGACUGACCACCAGGAUGGAGUGGAGGCUCUGAACUCCCAUUCUAGAACAAGCUUUGAAGAAUCCCCUUAAUUAAAAAUUGAAGUGGCUGUAUCGUCACAAUGUUGAGAGUGCUGUUAUUCCUGUGUUCAUCAGCAAGCCACAGCUUUCUCAAAGAUGGUUGUCUCAAAUGAGUGAGAAGAGAUGCUGUCCCUAGGGGAAGAUGUUCUAACUCCAGUCUUUUUAAGAGAUUAGGUUUCCCAUGUGGAAGACUCGAAAAUCCAUGGGACCUGUGAGGGAAGGAGACUGAAGGAAGAGACAAGUAGAGGAAGCUGAUGAGAAGCUAUGAAGCAGCAGCCCUGCGGAAAGGCUUGGGAUCCAGUCACACGAGCCUGUAAGAGUGAUUUCUCCUCCAUGUCAUAACUCACCUGAUCCCAGGAGACAAAGGGAUAGAAGGUCCCAGUUGAUGUGGCCAGACCUCUAGGAUGGCCUAAGUGGGAACCUGGAUGGUCUUCCAUGAUCCAUUCAUUCCUUAAAGACUGUCCACUGGUGCCCAGAACUACUGUUGGUAUUGGGAAUAACACAGGGAAUAAAGACAUCUGCAUCAC